GGUGUCUUGGAGAAGUGGUUAACUCACUCCCUUUGGGUUCUGCACAAUUGGGAGAGGUCAGGGGUUCGAACCCCCUAGGCGCCC
rnacentral:tRNA from 1 species